rnacentral:lncRNA from 1 species
AUGGGAACGUACCGCCACAAACACAUGUAGACAAUGACUGACGUUCAGAUGAGCAGAUUUUAGAGCAUAUACGGUUAGUACAUGUAUGUCUACUUUUCCUUUUAUGUGGCAACGCUUUGAUACAUUUGUUUUUGUUUUUACACAUGCCUUUCUGUAUUUAUACAUUCAACCUUAACAGGGUUACCAUGGAAACGUACCUCAAUAUCUAGUCAAUGGUAUAUUGGAUGAGCAACGUUCAGAUGUACAAAGUCAUACAGCAGAUUUUAGAGCAUAUAAAGUGUGUAUGUUUACUUUUUCUUUUUUUUUGGUGAUGUCACUUUGAUAUAUUUGUUUUUCAUUUUACACAUAUUCCUUUGUAUCUAUAAACACAACAGGAUUACCAUGGAAACUAACAUCUAGAUCUAGGCAAAGGUAUUAAUGGAUGACGACGUCCAAAUCUACUAAACAGCAGUGAGAGAAAUCCUGCAGCCGAUAACGAUCACGUGACAAACGCUUAGCUUUAAAUAGUCAGCUUUUCUAGGACCCGUAAAUGAAUUCAGGCAGAACUUGAAUAUAAACAAACAUCUGGAUAAUAUGUGCCGUUAUUGAAAACUCAGUUUACCUUGCAUGUGUUUUGCUGCGUAAUUCUUUGUGUUCGGUGUUUGCUGUUUUGUCAGGGAUUUGUUUGGUUAUUUGAUGGUGUUUGUGGUGGUUUUGGUGUUUGUUGUGGUGUUUGUGGUGGUGUUUUGGCGUUUGUUGUGUUUUUGGUGUCUUCUAUGUGGUCUUCUCGGUUGUAUUCGAUCAUGUUUGUGUUGUUUUGUUAAAAUGGGCGUUUGGUGCGAAUUGUAUGUCGCAUUUGGUUCUUCAUUGUUCGUUCCGUUACAAGGUGGAUUUCUUUCUGCCAUUAGCAGUACAUUAUAACUAGAUUUAUUCAUGUACACAAAAUUAAUCGAAUAAGUUAAAUAUUGCGUUGUGUUUUUUUUUUUUACUUUUCCCAUCAGUUUUAGAUAGAUGCAGAGACAUGCCAUGAAAAAUGCAGACGACUGAUAUAUGGUGCAGACGACAUCUCGGUAAACGUGCGCAGUUGUUCUGUUUAUUCUUUUCGUUUUAUACUGCUGUUUUUUUUUCAACUAGAAUGUCGGAGUACUUGGAGAAUAAAGACACAGACGGAUAUGGAGACGCAGACGGACAUGAAGAUGCAGCCCAAACAAAAUGUGCGCUUCUCAUUACCGCGAUCAGGGUCACCAUGGGAACGUACCUCUACAUCUAGGCAAUGGUACAAUGCAUGACCGGCGUUCAGAUGCACACAAUUAUAUAGCAGAUUUUGGGGCGUAUAGGAUAAUAGGGGUUAUUAUGGAAACGUACCUAGGCAAUAGUAUAAAUGGGUGGCUGGCGUUUGGAUGUAUAAAACACACAGCAGAUUUUGGAUCAUGUAGGGUUUAAAACGACAGGAAGACAGUGUUUGAAUUGUUGAAAGACAAAGAAAAAGAAUCGAUUCCAGAACGUGCUGUCCUGUGUUUGUUGUUUUCGACAGUUGAGGGGAGAGUCCGGUGCAUGCCAGAUACUAUCUAUUGAUUUCAAACACUCUAGUGAGAAAUAUAUGCAGAAGAGAGAACCAAGUAUGAUAAAUCCACGACAGACCUGGCACAAGCAUAUAGCAUGACACCACUACAGCCGUCAUGACAAAAGCAUAGUUAAACAAAUUAGACAUAAGCUAACAUGUAUAUAAUUAUACCCCAACGUACAAAGUAUAUUGGGCUAUGUUGGAGUCACGUAUGUCCAGUCCAUCCGUCCGUCCGUUCAUUUGUCCACCAUGGCCGCUGGGAUGAUUUUCAUAAAACUGACAUAAAUUAUAAACCACAUCAAGAUGAUGUACAGAGCGCUCAACCUAGGUCACAAGGCCCAAGAUCAAGGUUACUCAUGGAGGUCAAAGGUCAAAUAGCUUAGCUUCAUGUCCGCUCUAUAUUGUCUAAACGGCUUUGAAAAUAUUUAGCUCGACUGUUUGAAGAAUAAGGAGGAUUACUGUAUUUUCCUUGGCGUCUGUGUCACUGUUACCAUUGCAUUGAAAGUUAAAAUUUUAAGACAAGCUUCUCAGUGUCAAUAUAUCUUCUUACUACUGCCCUUAUUAACAUCAAACUUCACAUAAGUGUUGACCUUGGUAAGGGAAAGACAUCUACAUGUAUUAGCUGAGGAACAAGUAUCCUAAAUGUCGAAGUCACUGGCUUAAAUAUUGUGAUAGUGCUGGUUAAAGUUUCAUGAUAAGCUUCUCAGUUUCACAAUAUAACCUCACAUAAGGAUUGAUCUUAGAACGUGGCAGAAAUCUUUUUGUUCAGGGUCAGGUUGCUCAAAGGUCAAGGUUACUGGGUUCAGAUUUUGUAACAGUGUUGGUUAAAGUCUUGUGGCACAUUUCUCAAUUUGACUUAUAUCUCAUAACGUUUCUUAGAACUGGUAUCCCUCAUGUCCUAUCCAUUUUAGCUAUACCCAUACUUCAUCUACGUUCCUCCCGACACCCACCCAAAAAUGCGUUCCAUACAAAGACUUACAUUUCAUGUUUCCAUCAACUCCCCUACUCCGCUGUCUUCACCUACCUCCUCCACCCCAUUUCACCGAACCUUUACCCUCGUCCCUAACCCCCACCCCCUUCAUAAAAAGGAUAAAAAAACUCCUUUUCGAUCUCCCACACUUACUUAUAAUAAUAAUAAUAUCUUGUUAAACAUUUUCCUUAUAGUCGAGCAGACACAAUUAACUCAGAUCACUAGGUCCACGGUCAAGGUCACACCUAAAAAUCAAAAGUCAUAACAUUUUACUUUCCCUUGAUCAAAGUGAGGUCAGAGGGUAUUAAUCGACUUCAGUGAUAGCCUUAGUUGAUCAGGUGUUAGUGGCAUAAAUGUGUAAUAUUUGCUUUAUUAGUGGGGUGGAAUAGGAAUGGACUCCGUCUGUCCGUCCGUCUGCCCGUCCGUAACACUUUCGUAUCCAGGCCAUAUCUCCUAAACCCACUUGAAGGAUUUUCAUGAAACUCGGG